UACGAAGGGGGCUAGCGUUGCUCGGAAUCACUGGGCGUAAAGCGCACGUAGGCGGAUUGUUAAGUCAGGGGUGAAAUCCUGGAGCUCAACUCCAGAACUGCCUUUGAUACUGGCGAUCUCGAGUCCGGGAGAGGUGAGUGGAACUGCGAGUAUAGAGGUGAAAUUCGUAGAUAUUCGCAAGAACACCAGUGGCGAAGGCGGCUCACUGGCCCGGUACUGACGCUGAGGUGCGAAAGCGUGGGGAGCAAACAGG
rnacentral:rRNA from 1 species